rnacentral:tRNA from 1 species
GCCCAGGUGGCGGAAUUGGUAGACGCGCUAGCUUCAGGUGCUAGUGACCGUCAGGUCGUGGAGGUUCGAGUCCUCUCCUGGGCACCA